rnacentral:misc_RNA from 1 species
UUUUUUUUUUUUUUUUCUUUGAUUUAUUUCUUGUCUGCGUGUUUCUAAUCUACCAUGUUUUGAAAUAAUUAUUUGUGUUUAUUAUGGAUAUGAACAUAUAUAAUGUCUCUGCUAUUUUCUCUUUCUGGGUUCUUUGAAUUUCUUGAUUUUCCUUAUCAAUUUAAAAAAAUUUUCCCCAUAAAUUCCUCUGACAGGAUAGGAGCUUAAA